CAUUUUCUAAUUUAUAAAAUAUAUAUUUGUUAUUAUUUCGCACACGUUAUCAGGGUUAUAAAAAUAUGUCAUUCUUCAUUGAACUUUAAAAGUAUUCAUAAUAUUUUUUUCUGUUUAAAAGAUGCUUAAUCUGUUUGCACAUAGGACUAUUUAAAGAAUAUAAUAUUGAUUUUAGUAAAAUUUGCUGCAAAACUCCAGCAUAUCUCUUAAUUUAGUUAUAUAACUGAUUUUUAAGUAUAAUAUAGUGGUCCUGUAGUAGAAAAGGUUGGGGCAAAAUUGGACAGCAAUAAAAUCAUAUGACUCAGAUAUCUUGAUAAAAAAUGUUAAAAAAUUUCUACACAAAAUGUAUGUCUGCUUUCGAUAUCAGAGGAAUGUAUAAUCAAUAUUGUAUGGUGAUAUAGUUGCCCAUUUUAGAGAAGUGAUAUGUCGCUUCAUAACCAAUAAACCAUGACAACCAAUUAGAAUCACGUAUUAAAUACUUCACGACAAAUGCUUCAAAACAUAGGCCAUCACUUUUUUUAGAGGGGUAAGUAAAUUUAACUAUACGAAUUUUGAAACUAAGUGUGCCUCAAACAAUUAGAAAUGUACAUUUUUAAAAGAAAUUUAAGGAGUGGUCAGUGCUAAUGCUUUGCAAUGCUGCCACCAGACAUUUUGUAUUUCCAAUGCCAAAAAAGAACUAAGAGUCUGAUCGGCUUCUCGUGUUGUUAAAAUGAUUCUGUGAAUUUAAAACUAUGCCAAUCAACUCUUCAUAUUAAUGAAAACCUAUUUAUAAUAACGUUAUUUAAUGAAAGAAAGAAAUUUUGAGGUUAAGUGAAGUUUUCUGUAGUCGUCAAACACUCGUGUGUAUUUCCAAUGCCAAAAAAAACUAAAAGUCUAAUUGACCUAUUCCCUAGUGGAAAUAAAAAA